rnacentral:rRNA from 1 species
AUGAACGCUGGCGGCGUGCCUAAUCCCUGCAAGUCGCGCGAACAGUCGAGGAGCUUGCUCCUCUGACGUUAGCGGCGGACGGGUGAGUAACACGUGGAUAACCUACCUAUAAGACUGGGAUAACUUCGGGAAACCGGAGCUAAUACCGGAUAAUAUAUUGAACCGCAUGGUUCAAUAGUGAAAGACGGUUUUGCUGUCACUUAUAGAUGGAUCCGCGCCGCAUUAGCUAGUUGGUAAGGUAACGGCUUACCAAGGCAACGAUGCGUAGCCGACCUGAGAGGGUGAUCGGCCACACUGGAACUGAGACACGGUCCAGACUCCUACGGGAGGCAGCAGUAGGGAAUCUUCCGCAAUGGGCGAAAGCCUGACGGAGCAACGCCGCGUGAGUGAUGAAGGUCUUCGGAUCGUAAAACUCUGUUAUUAGGGAAGAACAAAUGUGUAAGUAACUAUGCACGUCUUGACGGUACCUAAUCAGAAAGCCACGGCUAACUACGUG